UACGAAGGGGGGCUAGCGUUGCUCGGAAUCACUGGGCGUAAAGCGCACGUAGGCGGCUUCUUAAGUCAGGGGUGAAAUCCUGGAGCUCAACUCCAGAACUGCCUUUGAUACUGGCGAUCUCGAGUCCGGGAGAGGUGAGUGGAACUGCGAGUGUAGAGGUGAAAUUCGUAGAUAUUCGCAAGAACACCAGUGGCGAAGGCGGCUCACUGGCCCGGUACUGACGCUGAGGUGCGAAAGCGUGGGGAGCAAACAGG
rnacentral:rRNA from 1 species